rnacentral:rRNA from 1 species
CCUACGGGUGGCAGCAGUGAGGAAUAUUGGUCAAUGGGCGUAAGCCUGAACCAGCCAAGUCGCGUGCGGGAUGAAGGUUCUAUGGAUCGUAAACCUCUUUUAUAAGGGAAUAAAGUGUGGGACGUGUCCUGUUUUGUAUGUACCUUAUGAAUAAGGAUCGGCUAACUCCGUGCCAGCAGCCGCGGUAAUACGGAGGAUCCGAGCGUUAUCCGGAUUUAUUGGGUUUAAAGGGUGCGUAGGCGGCCUUUUAAGUCAGCGGGGAAAGUCUGUGGCUCAACCAUAGAAUUGCCGUUGAAACUGGGAGACUUGAGUAAGUUUGAGGCAAGCGGAAUGCGGGGUGUAGCGGUGAAAUGCGUAGAUAGAACGCAGAACCCCGAUGGCGAAGGCAGCCUGCCAAGCCAUGACUGACGCUGAUGCACGAAAGCGUGGGGAUCAAACAGGAUUAGAUACCCGGGUAGUC